GCCACAUGGCUGAGUUGGCCACAGCUUCUCACUGUUAUGGUCCAUGUGCAUAUAGCACUGCUGCUUUAACAUCGGAAAGUCGAGAGUUCGAGCCUUUCAGUGGCG